rnacentral:rRNA from 1 species
UUGUGCCUACGGGGCGCAGCAGUGGGGAAUAUUGCACAAUGGGGGAAACCCUGAUGCAGCGACGCCGCGUGAGCGAUGAAGUAUUUCGGUAUGUAAAGCUCUAUCAGCAGGGAAGAAAAUGACGGUACCUGACUAAGAAGCCCCGGCUAACUACGUGCCAGCAGCCGCGGUAAUACGUAGGGGGCAAGCGUUAUCCGGAUUUACUGGGUGUAAAGGGAGCGUAGACGGCAAUGCAAGCCAGAUGUGAAAGCCCGGGGAUCAACCCAGGGACUGCAUUU